UCCACGAUAGCCACGCGAGAACCUUCCAAAGGUAACAUCGCCAAAAGGUCGCAUAUUCUUUAGCGAAAGUGCAAAAUGAUACCGCGCAAGAUGGCAACCAACAUGGCGGACUUAUGAUUCUUUGCAUUUAAAGUGUAAACGGGGAAAAGAGACAAGGAAUAUGGAAAUUGAAAAAAGCUAGUGGAAUCGAAUUCCGCGCAAGGUUCCCUCGAUUAUCACUUUGAUUGAUAUCUGGCAAAGGGACAAGUGACUGGACUGAAAUCAAGCCUCUGGAUGACUGCAUAAGUGGAUUGAAAUCAAACUUGCAAAUGGACGAGGAACUGGAUUGAAAUAAAAAUGGAAAAUGGACAUGUGAUCGGAUUUAAAUCAAGCGUACAUGUUUUAAAGGUAGAAUCCUUAAUUAGGUCGGUUUUGAGAUACACAGUAAUAGGCCACGAAGGUGCACUUUUAAACGCAAUUAUUGUGUCUAGUUACAAACCAAUUUUUGAGAUAAUUUGAAAUGAAAAUUUUUGACGAGUGCCAAACCGUGCCAGUUCGAUUCGUUUUCGUGAAAAUUGUCAACCUUACCAGCAGGAGUUUGUUUUAAUUGUUGCUAUAUACUGGCAAGAUUUGAUUUUUCAAAUGAAAUAUGCUUCAAAACCAACCUUAAUGAAGACUUUUUCCAUAUCGUUUAAGCAUCAUGAUCAUCAGAAAUUACGAAGACAAACCGACCCGAUAAUAAUUAAGAAAGAUUCUCUGUAUGAAUAUCGAGUUUCCUAAACACGAGCUUACGAAAGGUGAUUUGGAUUAUCUGCCUUUGUGGAACAAAAUCAAGGGAAAUUUUCGAAAUAAUUUGAGAAAUUAGAGGAUAAAUUUUUGGAUAGAAGAAGGAAAUAGUCAACAUGUAUUGAGGUCAGAUUAGUAAUGCAAAUUGUUCUUCUAAGUCGUAUUCAUGAAGGAAUGUUUCCAACUACUAUUGUGAGGAAUAGGUAUGUUUGCUAUCGUUCAUACGAUUCAUUUUAAUACAAAAUUCGUGAGUCGUGAAAAUAUCAUAUUUCAAGUGUUUCAUUUAUUUUAUUCAAAAGCAAGUUGAAGCGUUUACUGUGCACCUUCGUUUUUAUUUUUUGAAGGCAAAUUUACAAGUUAUACCAGUCAUCAGAUUACAAUGCCGAGUCAAAGUUUCCCCUUUUCAUGGAGUUAGCGUUUAUUGAGAAGCUCAAGUUCUUAUCGAAGUUUUUGCCAUACUUUUUGCUAUCCAAAUCCCUGUCAAAAAAUUAAUUUUCCCGCCAAAAAACUUAGAAAAAAUACGCAUGCACCAAUUUGCUAUUGAAAACUUUAAAGCUCUGUAAGUUACAUCCGUUUCAAAUGAUACAAUUUUCCCGCCAAAAAACUUAGAAAAAAUACGAGCGCCCAAAAUACGCAUGCGCCGGUUUUUUUU